AGUGAACGCUGGCGGUAGGCCUAACACAUGCAAGUCGAACGGCAGCACAGUAAGAGCUUGCUCUUACGGGUGGCGAGUGGCGGACGGGUGAGGAAUACAUCGGAAUCUACUUUUUCGUGGGGGAUAACGUAGGGAAACUUACGCUAAUACCGCAUACGACCUACGGGUGAAAGCAGGGGAUCUUCGGACCUUGCGCGAUUGAAUGAGCCGAUGUCGGAUUAGCUAGUUGGCGGGGUAAAGGCCCACCAAGGCGACGAUCCGUAGCUGGUCUGAGAGGAUGAUCAGCCACACUGGAACUGAGACACGGUCCAGACUCCUACGGGGGGCAGCAGUGGGGAAUAUUGGACAAUGGGCGCAAGCCUGAUCCAGCCAUACCGCGUGGGUGAAGAAGGCCUUCGGGUUGUAAAGCCCUUUUGUUGGGAAAGAAAAGCAGCAGGUUAAUACCCCGCUGUUCUGACGGUACCCAAAGAAUAAGCACCGGCUAACUUCGUGC
rnacentral:rRNA from 1 species